rnacentral:rRNA from 1 species
GUAGUGACGAAAAUAACGAUGCAGAACUCAUUCCGAGGCUCUGCAAUCGGAAUGAGAACACUCUAAAUCAUUUAACGAGUAUCCAUUGGAGGACAAGUCUGGUGCCAGCACCCGCGGUAAUUCCAGCUCCAAUAGCGUAUAUUAAAGUUGUUGCGGUUAAAAAGCUCGUAGUUGGAUCUGUGUUUCACGCUGACGGUUCACCGUUUGAUCGGUGUUUAACUGUCAUGUCGUGACACGUCCUGCCGGUUGGCAUGUCCGUGGGCUCCGGUCUGCGGCUGCCAGUUCCAAUCCUGUCGCGGUGCUCUUCACCGAGUGCUGAGGCAGGCCGGCACGUUUACCUUGAACAAAUUUGAGUGCUUCAAGCAGGCUAUAAUUGCCUGAAAACUGUGUGCAUGGAAUAAUAAAAUAUGACUUUGGUCGUAUUUUGUUGGUUUUAACGGUCCGAAGUAAUGAUUAAUAGGAACCGACGGGGGCAUUAGUAUUGCGACGUUAGAGGUGAAAUUCUUGGAUCGUCGCAAGACUAACCUAAGCGAAAGCAUUUGCCAAGAAUGCUUCCAUUAAUCAAGAACGAAAGUUAGAGGUUCGAAGGCGAUCAGAUACCGCCCUAGUUCUAACCAUAAACGAUGCCAGCCAGCGAUCUGUCGCAGUUCCUCCGAUGACUCGACAGGCAGCUUCCGGGAAACUAAAGCAUUUGGGUUCCGGGGGAAGUAUGGUUGCAAAGCUGAAACUUAAAGGAAUUGACGGAAAGGCACCACCAGGAGUGGAGCCUGCGGCUUAAUUUGACUCAACACGGGAAACCUCACCAGGCCAGAACACUAGAUGGAUUGACAGAUUGAGAGCUCUUUCUUGAUUUAGUGGGUGGUGGUGCAUGGCCG